rnacentral:rRNA from 1 species
GACGAACGCUGGCGGCGUGCUUAACACAUGCAAGUCGAACGGUGAAGCUCCAGCUUGCUGGAGUGGAUCAGUGGCGAACGGGUGAGUAACACGUGAGCAACCUGCCCCUGACUCUGGAAUAAGCGCUGGAAACGGCGUCUAAUACUGGAUACGAGAAGGGUCCGCAUGGGCACUUUCUGGAAAGUUUUUCGGUUGGGGAUGGGCUCGCGGCCUAUCAGCUUGUUGGUGAGGUAAUGGCUCACCAAGGCGACGACGGGUAGCCGGCCUGAGAGGGCGACCGGCCACACUGGGACUGAGACACGGCCCAGACUCCUACGGGAGGCAGCAGUGGGGAAUAUUGCACAAUGGGCGAAAGCCUGAUGCAGCGACGCCGCGUGAGGGAUGACGGCCUUCGGGUUGUAAACCUCUUUCAGCAGGGAAGAAGCGAAAGUGACGGUAUCUGCAGAAGAAGCACCGGCUAACUACGUG